rnacentral:rRNA from 1 species
AGAGAUGGCCCAAUUGUUCUAAAGGCACCAGAUUCCAUCAGAUCUUUGAAAGUAAGCAGGGCCAGCUUUGGUUAAUACUUGUAUGGGAGACCACCAAUGAAAAUAAUGUGAUGUAGGCU